GAUGAACGCUGGCGGCGUGCCUAAUACAUGCAAGUCGAGCGAACAGACGAGGAGCUUGCUCCUCUGACGUUAGCGGCGGACGGGUGAGUAACACGUGGAUAACCUACCUAUAAGACUUGGAUAACUUCGUGAAACCGGAGCUAAUACCGUAUAAUAUAUUGAACCGCAUGGUUCAAUAGUUAAAGUCGGUUUUGCUGUCACUUAUAGAUGUAUCCGCGCCGCAUUAGCUAGUUGGUAAGGUAACGGCUUACCAAGGCAACGAUGCGUAGCCGACCUGAGAGGGUGAUCGGCCACACUGGAACUGAGACACGGUCCAGACGCCUAAGGGAGGCAGCAGUAGGGAAUCUUCCGCAAUGGGCGAAAGCCUGACGGAGCAACGCCGCGUGAGUGAUGAAGGUCUUCGGAUCGUAAAACUCUGUUAUUAGGGAAGAACAAAUGUGUAAGUAACUAUGCACGUCUUGACGGUACCUAAUCAGAAAGCCACGGCUAACUACGUG
rnacentral:rRNA from 1 species